rnacentral:hammerhead_ribozyme from 1 species
CAGCUGACGAGUCCCAAACAGGACGAAACGCGCGUCCUG